GUGUGUGGUGUGUGUGGUGUGUGGUGCGUGUGCUGUGUGGUGUGUGGUGUGUGUGUAUCUUCUGGUCUGAACGCCCCUGAGCCCUUUGCGGUGGCCGUGGCUGCAGUGCUACGGAGCCAGAGCAUCACAGCACCACCGUCCAGCAGUGACAAGACCCAGCUGCGCGUGGACGGGCCCCCCUCAGCCCCGCGCGUGGACAGCCCCCCUCAGCCCCGCGCGUGGACGGGCCAAGUGGCAUGUGACUGCACUUCUCCUUCUUCCCGCGGGCCCUCCUCGCUCCCUUCUGCCAGAGGUUCCCUUCCACCCGGGCAUGCUGGGCUUUCUCUGGCCGCCUGUUUCCCGUUUGGCCACCCUGCGCUGACCGCCGCUCUGGCCUGCCCUGCGCUGACCGCCGCUCUGGCCUGCCCUGCGCUGACCGCCGCUCUGGCCUGCCCUGCGCUGACCGCCGCUCUGGCCUGCCCUGGGCCUCCGUGAGGCCCUGGCUCCGCCCCGAGGGCUGCAGCCUCCGGCUCUUCCUGUCGUUCUCCUGCACAACACUGCGCCGGACUGGCACCGUGAAGGAAUGAAUGAGAAGGAAGGUGCUUUCCUGGAUCUGACAUCAGGGCCGAGACCAGCGACCACUUUCUUGGCUGACGGACGAGGAGGCUGACACAAAACCGAGGCGCGAUUCAGCUGAUCUGAGACAGCAGCUAACCAAGGAACCACCUGGAGAACACGCUUCUGGAUCGGCGUCUACACCCGCGCAAACCUCCAGGGCCUGUGCCGCAGACCGGCGGUCGUGGCGAGGCCGCGUGGGAGCUGUGUGCAAGGACUGGGCGUCGCCGCGUCCUGCAGACGGUGCGGCAAGAUGCCUGGUUGCUGGGAAGAAAAUGUGCCCAGAACCAGGCGCUUUGCCCAGACGGCUUGGCUACAGGCAGCUCCGCCGCCGUACUGGUGCUGCUCGGUCAGGAGUGACGGCUGGGCGUCCGCGGCCUGGCAACCCUCGGCAGGCGUCCCUGGACGCAGAACGUCCCCUGCACAGGCGGGAUGCAGUCACCCUGAGGGCAUCGUCCCUGCAGAAGCGGGGCAGUGGAUGAGCUGCCCAUUCCAGAGCAGACCCAGCUGGCGCCCGUCCCCUGGGCUCCCCACGGCGCGAGAAUGACUCGCGUGACACGGUGCUGGUGUCAAGCCUCACACCCAGAGCCCCACAGGGCAGCGCCAAGCACACUACAUGGGCAGCUGCCCAUGUUUGUGCAAAGCCCUGAUGCCCGUUGCCACAGAAACGGGGCGUGCCCCGAAUCACAGGCCCUAACUCUCACCAACAGAAAUGGGUCAAAUCAAUAAAUAAACUAAUAGUAUCCCAUAAAGGAAAUACACUGGGAAUAAUAUACCUCUCUCGAUUGGGAGAGGUCCAGCCAAAGAAAGCCACCAACGUCCCAGAGAGCAGAUGGUCCCGGAAGGAAGGAAAGCAGCGGUGACAGCGGGGAGUCUGAGAUAGUUGUUUGCCCGGAAUGUUUACCCCAGAGCCUGCUUGGCCUUAACCCCACAGCCCUCGUCACUAGUGGUCUGACAACCACGAGGCCAUUGUCGUUCAAUGUCUUGGUUUCAGCUGCGGCUUUGUGUCCUUGCUAGAGCUGUCAUCCCUGAGUUAACAAGCAGAGCCUUCUGUGGGCUAGCAUCCGGGCCGUGGGAGGGCUUGCUGCACGCUGAGGGCCUCACAGCGCCAGGAACCCCAGGGGCCGGUGUCCAUGAUGGAGCUGGAGCAGCCCCGCAGUGCUCUGCCUUGCAGCAGCGCAUGGAGACACGACAGACAGAAGUAAACAGGGAUCUGGGGUUUGGACUGAGGUCAAUCCCAGACUCAUGGAACCGUCAUCAUAAAGUGACAAGGAGAUAUUUACAAAUCAUGCACUUCUUAAUAAUUGUUUUUGUCCUUUCAAAGGCUCAAUAUUUUACCAAUUUCAGCCAAUGGGAUCCUCUUGGAUUGCUGUCCUGUGGUGACUAUGCCACACUGCUCUCGAUCCAGUGAGAAGGAUUAUUGUUCUCUUUUCAUUUCAGAGUCAUUGACAUUCUCGAGAAACAACCUGGGGUGUUUAAUAUUCUAGUCAUACUGAAAAUCCUGCCUGGUUUGCCCGACUGUAUUUCACAGACCAGUGUAAGGAAGGAAUUAUUUUAAAAAACAGCAAAACAGAGAUUUUUACACACUCAAAUUCAUACAAUGUAGUGUUUCCCAGCAUUUGGCUGACUUCAGACUACUUACGCUAGGAAAAUCAUGGGUCAGGUCAGAGAUUUGGAAACGCUUUGAUGAUAAUUUAUUAUUGUCCAAUAUAAUUCAUGACUUGAUUGCUGA